UUGGCAUUUGAAAUUUAAAAAUCGUAACUUUGCUUUGGCUUGCUUCAAACAUUUUCUCGUCUUUAAUUAGAUUGAGAUGAGAUUCAUUACGCUGGUUGGCAUUUCUAAUUAAAUUGAGGAAAAGGUUAGACUCCAUCCGAGGACAGGUCCUUACUGCUCCCGAGAAUACAUUCGAAUUUCAUUUCCUGAACCAGUCCAAUGUUUCCAAAACAUGUCAUGCAACGAAUCCGACGAGACACCGAAAAUAAUGAAUUGCACUAGAUGCAAGCUGGAUCGUCAUCUUCAUCAGAGAAUGGAGUGCCAUUCAGCCUGUGCAAGUGUCAUUAGUAAAAUAAAAAUGUUUUCUUGCGAAUUAUGUAGGAAUUAAGUAGUGUUAUAUAUGAUAAUAAAUAUUGAUUUCUCACUA